GAUAAACGCUGGCGGCGUGCCUAAUACAUGCAAGUCGAACGAGGAGUCCUUGUAGCAAUACUCGGACUUCCUAGUGGCGAAUGGGUGAGUAACGCGUUGGUGACCUACCCCGAAGAUAGGAAUAACUCCGGGAAACUGGAGCUAAUACCUCAUGUGGUCAUAAGGGUUAGAGGCCUUAUGUCUAAAGGAGUAAUCCGCUUCGGGAGGGGCCUGCGUCCCAUCAGCUAGUUGGUAGGGUAAUGGCCUACCAAGGCGACGACGGGUAGGGGACCUGAGAGGGUGGCCCCCCACACUGGCACUGAAACACGGGCCAGACACCUACGGGAGGCUG
rnacentral:rRNA from 1 species